rnacentral:rRNA from 1 species
AAUCAACGCUGGCGGCGUGCCUAACACAUGCAAGUCGAACGCGAAAGUGAACCUUCCGUAAGGGAGGGGAUCAAGUAGAGUGGCAAACGGGUGAGUAACACGUGGGUGACCUGCCCUCAGCUCUGGGAUAAGCCUGGGAAACCGGGUCUAAUACCGGAUAUGACUCCAUGACGCAUGUUGUGGGGUGGAAAGCCUUGUGCGGCUGAGGAUGGGGCCCGCGGCCUAUCAGCUGUUGGUGGGGUGAUGGCCUACCAAGGCGACGACGGGUAGCCGGCCUGAGAGGGCGACCGGCCACACUGGGACUGAGACACGGCCCAGACUCCUACGGGAGGCAGCAGUGGGGAAUCUUGCGCAAUGGGCGAAAGCCUGACGCAGCGACGCCGCGUGAGGGAUGACGGCCU